rnacentral:sRNA from 1 species
GCUGGGUGUGGUGGCGGGCGCCUGUAGUUCCAGCUACUUGGGAGGCUGAGGCAGGAGAAUCACUUGAACCCAGGAGGUGGAGGUUGCAGUGAGCUGAGGUUGUGCCACUGCACUCCAGCCUGGGUGACAAAGCGAGACUCUGUCUCAA